UUCGCUUUUUGUCCAGCUCUCUUCGUCAGAGGCAUCAUCAAAAGGUUGUGUUAUUUGUUUCAAUAAAAUCUAUACACUUAAUCUUUUAUUAAUUUUUGUGCUCUCUGGCUCUUCUUCUUUCAACUCAAAAGUGGAAUUAGUAAAUUUUGAUAAAGACCUUCUAUUAAAUCAAAAUUUGUCAUCUCAAUUUGAAAAAAAAAUUUUAAGCCUGGGAGGAAUAAGUUUAUCUAAUACUAUAAAUAAGAUUAUACCUACCAUUAUAACAUAAACUGUGUCGUCAACUAACUUUUGGUACAGUUUUCAUGGAACUCUUGCUGUAAAGGAUCUCCAUUUUUCAUCGAUAAUCAUAAGUGCUACACGAAAAAAAAUUGCAUCUACUGUAACAGAUGUACAAGAACGCAUUAAAGAUUGGUUGCGUAGACCAUCUGACAGGCAGAAAAAAAAGAGAGGAGUCAAUCAACAGCCUAUAUUGUGAUUAAUUUUCUAAUUGUGCUUAAACCAGUGAUU